UACGUAGGUGACAAGCGUUAUCCGGAAUUACUGGGCGUAGAGCGCACGCAGGCGGCUGAGUAAGUCUGACGUGAAAUCUCCCGGCUUAACCGGGAGCGGUCGUUGGAAACUACUUGGCUUGAGGCGAGGAGAGGGGUGUGGAAUUCCCGGUGUAGUGGUGGAAUGCGUAGAGAUCGGGAGGAACAUCAGUGGCGAAAGCGGCACCCUGGCCUUAGCCUGACGCUCAGGUGCGAAAGCGUGGGGAGCGAACGGG
rnacentral:rRNA from 1 species